AGGUUCUUUCUGUGACAUGUUUUCAUGGUGUUGGGAAUAAGACUUGGGAUCUAAUACAGCUAAUAUGAAGGUUAGCAUCACAGUUUGUCUGUAAGGAUUGAGGCGCCAGGGAAUGGCCAUUGGAGCUGACUUUUAUGGUAACUUUAACUGUGGCUGCACAAAAUGAUUGGGUGAUAUAACUGUAGCAGUAAAGAAUGUAAUUCAGACAAUUUUGUGUGUGUUUGAGAAAAUGUUUAUAA